rnacentral:rRNA from 1 species
AGUCUUCGUGAUUCAGCUUCACCCUCACGUUGCACAGUUCUAUCAGUAUAAUACUACACAGUAAAACUGCAAAUGGCUCAUUAAAACAGUUAUAGUUUAUUUGAUACAUAAAGUGGAUAACUGUAGAAAAACUAGAGCUAAUACAUGCCAUAACCGCAAGGUUGUAUUUAUUAGAUAUUCCAAUUAAGGUGAAUCAUAAUAACUUCGCAAAUCUUGGCUGUGCCGAGAUAAAUCAUCCAAGUUUCUGCCCUAUCAUGCUUUCGAUGGUAGUGUAUUGGACUACCAUGGCUGUCAUAUGGGUAACAGGGAAUUAGGGUUCGAUUCUGGAGAAGGAGCCUGAGCAGCCGGCUACUACAUCUACGGAAGGCAGCAGGCGCGUAAAUUACCCAAUCCUGACUCAGGGAGGUGGUGACAAGAUAUAACAACAACGAUGCAAAUCGUGAUUGUAGUGAGGGUAUUCUAAACCGAACCACUAGUACGAUUAGAGGGCAAGUCUGGUGCCAGCAGCCGCGGUAAUUCCAGCUCUAUAGCGUAUAUAAAGUUGCUGCAGUUAAAAGCUCGUAGUGGAUUCAGACAGCUUUACUCUUUGAGUAGCUCUACUAGUCUCGACUGUACUGUGAGAAUAGAGUGUAGCAGCUUUGCAGAUCUACAUGAAACGAUGUUGAACUGUUAUCUAUCAAUAAAGAGUGGGCUAAUUAUGCAGGAUCUGUUGAACUGGAUCGAGUUCACAAAAGGACACAUGUGUCUCUCUACGGGGGA